rnacentral:lncRNA from 1 species
AAUGAGUUAAGCCAUAACAGUAAGCAUGGCCAGACUAUUCUCAGCAGAUCCUCAUUUUCUUCAUGCCCAGAACCAUAGCUGUCAAAAAGAUAACCAUUGCAGGAAUAGUGAAAUAAUCACAUAUUGUUGCUAGAAUUCUUAAACUGUGUCCAUAAAAUUGGGAGACUUUUUUCUACUUCCUUAACAGAAGACUAUGUUAUAGCUGUUGGUCUUUCUACUUCCUUAACCAUUUGCAUAAAAGUUGUCCAUCUUAGGCAUGUGGUAUGAUCAAUCACCAGCAGCAAUUAAUCUACGGAAAACCUGAACCCAAAAUAUGGAUUGAGACUCUGUCAGUGAAGUGAAACAGUGUGAAGGAAAUCACAAGGAUGACACAAGUUAUGUUCUCCUUCUUCCCAGGUUACCUUAAAUUUCCUUUUCGAAUCUGACUUAAUCCAG